GAGAGAGAGAGAGAGAGGAAAGGGGAGAGGAAGGGCUUCUACGUCACCGCUCUCUGGAUGCACGCCAUCCACCCGCGCACGCUCGCCACCAACCUCGCCGGCUUCACCAGGUUCCUCCACGACCCCCGCGAUGAGCGCAAGGACCAGGACGACGUCGCCGCGGCGGCCCCGGGGGCAAGAGCGGCAAGCGGCGUUGCGUCGACGGCCUUGCCGCCGCCGCGGCUGAGGCCGCCAAGGCCCGGCGCGAGAAGGAGGCGGAGCACGCGCAGGCCGUGCUCGCGCGCUACGACUCUGACGAGGCCUUCCGCAACCUCUACGACAGCGUCGCCGACCUCUUCGUCUGGCUGCUCAAGUCGGGCCUGGAGCACCUGCGCGCGGGCAACACGGCCAAGAUCGUGUUCGCCGCCAAGUGCGCUCGUCGUACGCAUGGGUCUCCUUUGCUCCAUGGGUGCCGCUGGCUGAGGAUGGAGCAGCAGGCAUAGAAGAAAUCUACAACCAGUUUCUCUUGGCUGCGCCAUCUUCCGCUGACAGUAACUCUACACAACAGCCUGCUAAGGUUGUUUCUUGCAAAAAAAAAAAAAACAUAAGUCUUGCAUCAUUCAUAAAAAAGUAUAUGGUCAAUUUCCUUUAUAAAUGUUGUGCUUAAAAGUACCUUAGUUAAGUCCAUCGACCGUGAGAUCUUGCUCGCCGGCCUCAUCUUUUUCUUCAGGUCGGUAGUACGUCGUUUCAAUCCAGGGUUAAGAUUCAUCUCCCUUCAACUAUAAUUUGAACAUUUAGCCUUUUUCCGCUCAUUACAAGCGACUAGGGAGCACAUGUGUGCUCCCUAGCAUUCCCGAGCACACACUUAAAUUUUUUUUAUCCUAAUACUAUGAUAAAAAAUCCACUCUAAAAAAAGAAAGAUCUUGUCUCAUGUGUAAUUAUUUUGUGUGUUCAACUUUUUUAAAAAAGUCAUAACUUUUGAAUGGAGCAUCAAAAUUAAGAUCCGUUUUCACCGUUAGAUUCUGGGCGACGUGCUCUUCAAAACUAGAUCCCAUAUUGAUAUGUUUCGACGAACUUUUGUUCUUCGGGCAACUUUGGUUCACUAUAAGGCAACUUUGGUACCACUGUAGGCAACUUUUGGUUAGGGUGUGUAUCAUGGUCACCUAUCAUCCGGAUGUUCCUUUGAGUUGGCUAUGAUGACUGCCAAAAUGCCUAGCAUCACGUGUAAGUUGUCUACCAUGACUACCUAUCAACUUUGCUGCUAUAUGAAGCACUUGCUGCCAGGUUGCCUAUGAUGACUACGUAUCAACUCAAUGCUCUUAUAAACUUGGCUAUCAUGAUUCUCAAGUUUCAUAGGGUCACCUAUGAAGUUGUUUUUGAUGAUUAGGCUAUGUAUCAUGAUCACCUAUAGGCAACUUUGUUGUUUCUCAAGCAACUUUGUUGUCACAAAUAGGCAACUUUCGGUUAGGCUAUGUAUCAUGAUCACCUAUCAUCCCGAUGAUUCUUUUGACUUGGCUACAAUGACUACCAAAUUGCCUAGCAUGACAUAUAAGUUGCCUAGUGUCAACUAUGAACUUGCUUUCGACUAUCCUUUUUUUUCACAAGCAACUUUGGUGCCACGGAGAGGCAACUUUUGUAUUACAGUAGGCAACUUUCAAUUAGGUUGUGUAUCAUAGUCAUCUAUCAUCCUAAUGUUCUUUUGAGUUGGCUACGAUGACUAUCAAAUUGCCUAGCAUCACUUGUAAGUUGCCUACCAUGACAACCUAUCAACGUUGGUGCUACAUGACCCAUCUUGUUGCUUAUUAUGACUACCUAUCAACUCAAUGCUCUUAUAAAGUUGGGUAUCAUGAUCUCAAGUUGCUACGCAUCACCUAUGAAAUUGCUUUUGACGAAAAACUUCUCAAGCAACUUUUGUGCCACGGAGAGGCAACUUUUGUAUUACAGUAAGCAACUUUUGCUUAGGUUGUGUAUCAUGGUCAUCUAUCAUCAAAAUGUUCUUUUGAGUUGGAUACGAUGAAUACCAAGUUGCCUACCAUCACAUGUAAGUUGCCUACCAUGACUAGCUAUCAACUUUGAUACUACAUAAUGCACCUCGUUGCUAGGUUGCCUAUGAUGGCUACAUAUCAAAUCAAUGCUUUUAUAAGUUGGCUAUCCUGAACGUUAACUUGCCUAGCGCCACCUAUGAAAUUUCUUUUGCUGAACUUUUUUCUUGUCAGAUAGGCAACUUUGGCGGAUGGGGAGGCAACUUUUGAAAUAAGAGGCAACUUUAAUACCAUGGGGGGGAGGGGGGAGGGGCAACUUUGGUGCUACGAGAAGCAACUUUGUGGUGCACCAGGAGAAGUCUGAUGAUAAGGCUGAAGCUCUUUCAUCUUCUAUUGAUGGAAAGAAUGAUAAGGAUGACCAGGGGUAGAUGACCAAAAAAAGGGAGCUGUGCUACUGGAAAGGGGGCUGGGACAGCAAAGAAAUCAAGGCAGUUACUACUCUGCGCCAUCUAUGCAGAGAUUAAUUACCUAUAGAAAAGAAUACCUUUAUCCUGAUAGGCAUGGAAACACCGCUUCGCAUUGAGUGCAUCAUCGCUAAUCAGCUACUAUCUAUGAGAGCAAUGGAUAUAGAAGAAAUAUGUAAACAGUUGUCCCUAGAAGAAAUAUGCAACAACUUAUUCAGUAGAGAGCAAGGGACAUAUAAGAAAUCUCCAGGCAGCUUCGCUUAGAUGCAUCAUCUUCUGCUAGGACCUAGGAGUCAGCUUGAAGAAUGACCUUCUCAGGUUAAUUCUUUAUAGAGAACAGGAGACUGCAACUGACAUGCUGGAUGGUGAAUAACCAAAUUUGUGGACAAAGACAGAUAGUUCAUCGCAAGGGGUGGUGUUUAGGAUAUAUAUACACAAAAGAGGAAACUUUCUUUUGUACAGAACCAAAUUAUAUGAUGUAAUUGACCACUAUUUCUAAGAAAUGUUCAUCGUGUAUUAAGUACA